rnacentral:rRNA from 1 species
CUACGUGCCAGCAGCCGCGGUAAUACGUAGGGUGCAAGCGUUAAUCGGAAUAACUGGGCGUAAAGGGCACGCAGGCGGUGACUUAAGUGAGGUGUGAAAGCCCCGGGCUUAACCUGGGAAUUGCAUUUCAUACUGGGUCGCUAGAGUACUUUAGGGAGGGGUAGAAUUCCACGUGUAGCGGUGAAAUGCGUAGAGAUGUGGAGGAAUACCGAAGGCGAAGGCAGCCCCUUGGGAAUGUACUGACGCUCAUGUGCGAAAGCGUGGGGAGCAAACAGGAUUAGAUACCCUGGUAGUCCACGCUGUAAACGAUGUCGAUUUGGGGGUUGAGCUAUAAGUUUGGCGCCCGUAGCUAACGUGAUAAAUCGACCGCCUGGGGAGUACGGCCGCAAGGUUAAAACUCAAAUGAAUUGACGGGGGCCCGCACAAGCGGUGGAGCAUGUGGUUUAAUUCGAUGCAACGCGAAGAACCUUACCUACUCUUGACAUCCAGAGAACAUUC